UACGUAGGGCGCAAGCGUUAUCCGGAAUUAUUGGGCGUAAAGAGCUCGUAGGCGGUUUGUCGCGUCUGCCGUGAAAGUCCAGGGCUCAACUCCGGAUCUGCGGUGGGUACGGGCAGACUAGAGUGAUGUAGGGGAGACUGGAAUUCCUGGUGUAGCGGUGAAAUGCGUAGAUAUCUGGAGGAACACCGGUGGCGAAGGCGGCAUCCUGGACCGGUAUUGACGCUGAGGCGCGAAAGCUAGGGGAGCAAACGGG
rnacentral:rRNA from 1 species